rnacentral:rRNA from 1 species
AUCGAACGCUGGCGGCAUGCUUUACACAUGCAAGUCGAACGGUAACAGGCCGCAAGGUGCUGACGAGUGGCGAACGGGUGAGUAAUGCAUCGGAACGUGCCCAGUCGUGGGGGAUAACGCAGCGAAAGCUGUGCUAAUCCCGCAUACGAUCUAUGGAUGAAAGCCGGGGACCGUAAGGCCUCGCGCGAUUGGAGCGGCCGAUGUCAGAUUAGGAAGUUGGUGGGGUAAAGGCUCACCAAGCCAACGAUCUGUAGCUGGUCUGAGAGGACGACCAGCCACACUGGGACUGAGACACGGCCCAGACUCCUACGGGAGGCAGCAGUGGGGAAUUUUGGACAAUGGGCGCAAGCCUGAUCCAGCAAUGCCGCGUGCAGGAAGAAGGCCUUCGGGUUGUAAACUGCUUUUGUACGGAACGAAAAGGUUUGGGUUAAUACCCUGGGCCGAUGACGGUACCGUAAGAAUAAGCACCGGCUAACUACGUGCCAGCCGCCGCCGUAA